ACCGUCCCACGUUCGGAUUGCAGGCUGCAACCCGCCUGCAUGAAGUUGGAAUCGCUAGUAAUCGCGGAUCAGCAUGCCGCGGUGAAUACGUUCCCGGGCCUUGUACACACCGCCCGUCACACCAUGAGAGUCGGGAACACCCGAAGUCCGUAGCCUGACCGCAAGGGGGCGCGGCCGAAGGUGGGUUCGAUAAUUGGGGUGAAGUCGUAACAAGGUAUC
rnacentral:rRNA from 1 species